rnacentral:rRNA from 1 species
GACGAACGCUGGCGGCGUGCCUAAUACAUGCAAGUAGAACGCACAGUUUAUACUGUAGCUUGCUACACCAUAGACUGUGAGUUGCGAACGGGUGAGUAACGCGUAGGUAACCUGCCUGGUAGCGGGGGAUAACUAUUGGAAACGAUAGCUAAUACCGCAUAAUAUUGAUUAUUGCAUGAUAAUUGAUUGAAAGAUGCUAUUGCAUCACUACCAGAUGGACCUGCGUUGUAUUAGCUAGUAGGUGAGGUAACGGCUCACCUAGGCGACGAUACAUAGCCGACCUGAGAGGGUGAUCGGCCACACUGGGACUGAGACACGGCCCAGACUCCUACGGGAGGCAGCAGUAGGGAAUCUUCGGCAAGGGACGAAAGUCUGACCGAGCAACGCCGCGUGAGUGAAGAAGGUUUUCGGAUCGUAAAGCUCUGUUGUAAGAGAAGAACGGGUGUGAGAGUGGAAAGUUCACACUGUGACGGUAUCUUACCAGAAAGGGACGGCUAACUACGUG